AGUGAACGCUGGCGGUAGGCCUAACACAUGCAAGUCGAACGGCAGCACAGUAAGAGCUUGCGCUUACGCGUGGCGAGUGGCGGACGGGUGAGGAAUACAUCGGAAUCUACUUUUUCGGGGGGGAUAACGUAGGGAAACUUACGCUAAUACCGCAUACGACCUACGUGUUAAAGCAGGGGAACUUCGGACCUUGCGCGAUUGGAUGAGCUGCGGUGGGAUUAGCUAGUGGGCGUGGUAAAGGCCCACAAAGGCGACGAUUCGUAGCUGGUGUAAGAGGAUGCCGACCCACACAGGAACUGCAACACGCGCCACACUCUUACGGCAGGAAGCCGAGGGGAGUUUUGGACACUGAGGGCAAUUUUGCUCCAGCCAGACCGCUGGGGUGAGGAGGGCCUUCGGGUUGUAAACUCCUUUUGUUGAGAAAGAAAGGCGGCAGGUUAAAACUCCGCUGUUCUGACGGUAACCAAAGAGUAAGCAACGGCUAACUUCGUG
rnacentral:rRNA from 1 species